GCCCAAAAAUCUGUCAGAGUUGUAGUAAACCCUAGUCGAUUGAGAGCAACGGUAACAUCUGCUACUGCACAUCAUUUACGGUAAUCUCUUUAUUUCUUUCUUGUUCCAAUUUUUAGAGAAAUAUCUAUAUUCCAUUGGAGGUUAUUUACCCAGUGAUAUUUCAAGAGAUCAAAACGAGGAGAACAAAGCAACAAUUUAGUACACUGAGAUUUGAGAGAACAGAAG
rnacentral:lncRNA from 1 species